rnacentral:rRNA from 1 species
UACGUAGGCAGCAAGCGUUUGUUCGGAGUUACUGGGCGUAAAGGGUGUGUAGGCGGUUGUUUAAGUUUUGGUGUGAAAUCUCCCGGCUCAACUGGGAGGGUGCGCCGAAUACUGAAUGACUCGAGUGCGGGAGAGGAAAGUGGAAUUCCUGGUGUAGCGGUGAAAUGCGUAGAUAUCAGGAGGAACACCGGUGGUGUAGACGGCUUUCUGGACCGUAACUGACGCUGAGACACGAAAGCGUGGGUAGCAAACAGG